CUCGUUUGGUGCGCUGCAUUGUGGCUGAUCCUGGUUGUGACCAUGGGAGUUGCGCAGCUCCUUCCAGGCUGUAUGCAGAAGACCUCAAUGGAUCUCCCAGUGUUUUUGGGGAUAGCCUGCUCUCCAGGAAUGCAGCAAGGAAGACAGACUUGUGAUAUGGAAAUUGGUUGUCUUUAUCAGAAUAAAGCUAGCUGCUCAGUGUUUGAAUAAAGCACCUUUUGCUAUGAUGCUUUUUCAGUGUAAAUACACCAAGAUUUUGAAGUCUCUUUCUAAGCCAACAAACAAAUGCAUUAAAUGGCAA